CAACAUCUCUUCCUCUCCAUCCCUCUGCUGUACCUCAGGCCUCAUUGUCUCUUAACACAACUUCUGCAUCAGAUUCUCAAACUAUUCCCUCAGCCUCAAGCUUUUGAACCCACCUUCCACACUGCAGCCAGAAUGAAGGAUCUUUCCAAAAUGAAGAUCUGGCCAUAUUGCCUACCACUACUUAAAAUUCUGCAAUGUCUCUUCAUUGACUUCAGAACAAAGUCUAUGAUCUUUAGCACAACCUAUCAGGGUGCCCAACUUCUGCAGAAAACAAAGCCACUCCAGAGUUUCUGCCACCAUAUGCUGAUUGGCUGCAGCCAAGGGAGCAAGCUGCUCUGAGAAACAGAGGCCAGA